rnacentral:rRNA from 1 species
GCGAUCAUACCAGCACUAAUGCACCGGAUCCCAUCAGAACUCCGAAGUUAAGCGUGCUUGUCCGAGAGUAGUACUAGGAUGGGUGACCCCCUGGGAAGUCCUCGUGUUGCACCCC